rnacentral:lncRNA from 1 species
GGAUGUAUGUCCCUGCAAUUACUCAUGAACCAUUAAACCAAAGCUUUUCAAAUUUUAACGUAUUGUUACUGAUGACAAAAUGGAGUUCAAGUUCAAUAUUGAUAAUUUUCACUGUGACAGUUCAGGAGUUCUGGUUCUUGAAGGAAUGAACAAUUGUGUUGCUAGUCAUAUCCAUGCUUUAACUCAUAAACUGGUGAACCAAAGCUUUUAAAAUUUUUUAUUAUUGUUGCUGAUGACAAGAUGGCGUUAUGGUUCUUGUGAUAUUGAAAAAUGCUAGGACACCAAUAAUGUCAAAGAAUCCAGUUUGCUCUCAGUCUGACAUCCUCUUGUUAAGACAUAAUCUGUUUAAACAUUCCUCUUCAUUUUUGUCUUCAUUUUUUCUUUCAGCUGAUUCCUGGUGGUGAAGGUCCAGAAAUGUAGAAGUCAUGUGAUCUCAUGGCAUCACUGUGAAGAACUGUCUACAUCUGUUUCCAUAGCAACAUCAUUUUAUGUUGACCAUCUUCAUCUUUUUUUCAUCAUCUUGUAUAUAAAAUCAUUCAUUAUCAGUAUAAGAUUCAAAACAUAAAAGUCAAAAUAAAAAAUAAACAAUUAAAA